GUAACAUUUAUAUGCACACAGGUCCUGCCAGGAGCUGCUGCUGAGCCCUUGCAGUAUGACACACACAGAACAGGGAGUGAGAUUACUUAGAGACAAUUCCAUAAAGCUCACCCAGGUGAAUCAUGACUUCACUCCCACUUAGGCUGAAGAUAACUGGCCCUGUCUUCAGUGUAAAAAGGAUGACUCAGAGACAGAUGGUCACAGUUGCCGUCUUCCACUGACUGGGGAGAAAAUGUGUGCUUGAUGGCCCUCAGCACGUAUGAAAUCUCAAAGCUCUGGAAUUUUCAUAUUACAUAAGUAAACAUAUGUCACAGAAAAUGAAAAAAAAAAUUCUUCAGAAAUUCUUCAGGGAACAAUACAUAUUGCAACAAAUAUUUAUACAGAUUCCUCCUUCAUCACAGUGACUUAAAAGAAUAAGCUUGCAAAAGGUUUUUGACUUUACUUCAGCUAAUGUUUAUAACCAUCUCCUGCUUAGCUUCUACUGGAAAUAGAUUCACUAAGUCACUUACUCAAAAGCACAGACCUUCAUAUGAUCUUGGCCUAACAGUGAGUUCUUCAACAUUAUGUGUCUAUAAAUCAAGAGAAAAGAAGACAUGAGAUAUUUAGAUUGGGCAUAAAACAUUUAGUGAAUGGUGCAUUUUUUUUUUCUAAUUUACGUACUACCAAGUUUCUCAUUUCACAGAAUUUGCUGGAUGUCAUCACCCUUGAUCCCAAUGUUUAAAUGUAAUGGACUUAUUUGCGUACUUUCCACUGGGAGCACAUGACCAUGUCUGUUAAUAAAGAUAGCCAAAGACUGCUGACUUUUGAGCCCAGCACUUACUAACAUUUCAAGCGUAAUUUACACAUACUUUGCUAAUGCUAGCUUUUAAUCAGGCAAACUGACAAGCACAAACAUUCUGCUUCACAUAUAAUUUUAUGAAACAAUAUUAUUGUAACUAAAAGUAUAAAAAACACAGGCAAAAAUGAUUAAAUUGCACUUCAUGUAAGUACUGUAGAAGAACAUGUACACAUCUUUGUUUUCAAAAAAAAAUGCUUUUGUAAAAAAGAUGUAUUGCUAUUACAUUAUUAUAUGAUCUGUGUAAUAUCUGUCUACAGAACAGAUAAUAGGAAAUGUGUUUCUGAGUGAGAAUUCAGCAUUGGAACAAAUAUUGAUUAAAAGAUUAAAAUAUAUCUAUCUAUGGGCAAAU
rnacentral:lncRNA from 7 species